CAGUGAGACAUAUUAACCAACAAAAUACUGGACUCAAACCUACAUAAAAAGCCCCUCCUCACUGUCCUUGUCCACUUUGUCGGGAGAUACGACGAAUUACCAUGGUGCAUAGUGGUGACUGUGACGGGAACGUCCCCAAGCCAAGAUUUGUCAGGAGUGUAGGGCAUGGCCAGCUGGCUUUGACUUCUAGCAGCACAUGUUAGAGCGUUUGACUGCAUUCUGUCUAAAAAGGACAUUUGUUACCCUUUAACCAAGUUUUUUUUCUUAAAGAGUGUUUUUAAUAUAAAACUAAAAUGCCAUGUGUUCUGAGUCCAGUGGAAUUCACAAGCACCUGUAGGAGUCUUAACUACAUUGGUAAAUGAUUUUUCAGUUGUCUAGCAUACCAUCUUCCUUCUGUGAUCUUAAGCCAAGACCAUAAAGGUUUUAAUUAAUAAUUCUCACCACGAAUCUUCCAGGUGUGUGCCAGUGAGGAUUACUUAACUGAAGCAAAUAAGGAUCAUCAUUUCCUACUCCAGUUUGUUAAAGAAAGAUAUGCACACAACAUCAUAUUUAACACUUCUGAAGAAACCAGAUAAAGAAAGUUAAUGAGUUAUAUUUAAUGAUGCAAUAAAAAGAAGAAAAGAACCUUGUCAAAUACUCAGCUUAUAAAUCAGACAAUACCUGGAAGCUGACCUGAAAUUAUAUUUAGUUAACACAUCAUGAGUGUGGUAAAGACUGUUGCCAGGCCUGCAAUAAAAUGAAGAAUUAGAAUGAAAAAAAAAAAAAAAAAAACCCUGAAAACUCAUGGUAUAAUGUAGUAAAAAUGGGGAGAAAUGUAAUAUUUUCCCUGCAAGAUUGGGAAUAAGACCAGGAUGUCCCUGUUCGCCAUUACAAUUCAACAUCUUGAUGUCCUAGCUAGCGCAAUGAUGAAAUACUAUGAAAUAAAGGCUUAUGAAAUGAACAAACAGAAAAAGAACUGUCUUUGUUUUUUGUCAAUUUACAAAAUCCCAAAGUAUUGAAAAAAAAGUUCUUCUGGAAGUGGUAAUUAUAGCAAAUUCAUAG